GGGUUGUGAGGUUAAGCGACUAAGCGUACACGGUGGAUGCCCUGGCAGUCAGAGGCGAUGAAGGACGUGCUAAUCUGCGAUAAGCGUCGGUAAGGUGAUAUGAACCGUUAUAACCGGCGAUUUCCGAAUGGGGAAACCCAGUGUGUUUCGACACACUAUCAUUAACUGAAUCCAUAGGUUAAUGAGGCGAACCGGGGGAACUGAAACAUCUAAGUACCCCGAGGAAAAGAAAUCAACCGAGAUUCCCCCAGUAGCGGCGAGCGAACGGGGAGCAGCCCAGAGCCUGAAUCAGUGUGUGUGUUAGUGGAAGCGUCUGGAAAGGCGUGCGAUACAGGGUGACAGCCCCGUACACAAAAAUGCACAUGCUGUGAGCUCGAUGAGUAGGGCGGGACACGUGGUAUCCUGUCUGAAUAUGGGGGGACCAUCCUCCAAGGCUAAAUACUCCUGACUGACCGAUAGUGAACCAGUACCGUGAGGGAAAGGCGAAAAGAACCCCGGCGAGGGGAGUGAAAAAGAACCUGAAACCGUGUACGUACAAGCAGUGGGAGCACGCUUAGGCGUGUGACUGCGUACCUUUUGUAUAAUGGGUCAGCGACUUAUAUUCUGUAGCAAGGUUAACCGAAUAGGGGAGCCGAAGGGAAACCGAGUCUUAACUGGGCGUUAAGUUGCAGGGUAUAGACCCGAAACCCGGUGAUCUAGCCAUGGGCAGGUUGAAGGUUGGGUAACACUAACUGGAGGACCGAACCGACUAAUGUUGAAAAAUUAGCGGAUGACUUGUGGCUGGGGGUGAAAGGCCAAUCAAACCGGGAGAUAGCUGGUUCUCCCCGAAAGCUAUUUAGGUAGCGCCUCGUGAAUUCAUCUCCGGGGGUAGAGCACUGUUUCGGCAAGGGGGUCAUCCCGACUUACCAACCCGAUGCAAACUGCGAAUACCGGAGAAUGUUAUCACGGGAGACACACGGCGGGUGCUAACGUCCGUCGUGAAGAGGGAAACAACCCAGACCGCCAGCUAAGGUCCCAAAGUCAUGGUUAAGUGGGAAACGAUGUGGGAAGGCCCAGACAGCCAGGAUGUUGGCUUAGAAGCAGCCAUCAUUUAAAGAAAGCGUAAUAGCUCACUGGUCGAGUCGGCCUGCGCGGAAGAUGUAACGGGGCUAAACCAUGCACCGAAGCUGCGGCAGCGACGCUGAUGCGUUGUUGGGUAGGGGAGCGUUCUGUAAGCCUGCGAAGGUGUGCUGUGAGGCAUGCUGGAGGUAUCAGAAGUGCGAAUGCUGACAUAAGUAACGAUAAAGCGGGUGAAAAGCCCGCUCGCCGGAAGACCAAGGGUUCCUGUCCAACGUUAAUCGGGGCAGGGUGAGUCGACCCCUAAGGCGAGGCCGAAAGGCGUAGUCGAUGGGAAACAGGUUAAUAUUCCUGUGCUUGGUGUUACUGCGAAGGGGGGACGGAGAAGGCUAUGUUGGCCGGGCGACGGUUGUCCCGGUUUAAGCGUGUAGGCUGGUUUUCCAGGCAAAUCCGGAAAAUCAAGGCUGAGGCGUGAUGACGAGGCACUACGGUGCUGAAGCAACAAAUGCCCUGCUUCCAGGAAAAGCCUCUAAGCAUCAGGUAACAUCAAAUCGUACCCCAAACCGACACAGGUGGUCAGGUAGAGAAUACCAAGGCGCUUGAGAGAACUCGGGUGAAGGAACUAGGCAAAAUGGUGCCGUAACUUCGGGAGAAGGCACGCUGAUAUGUAGGUGAAGUCCCUCGCGGAUGGAGCUGAAAUCAGUCGAAGAUACCAGCUGGCUGCAACUGUUUAUUAAAAACACAGCACUGUGCAAACACGAAAGUGGACGUAUACGGUGUGACGCCUGCCCGGUGCCGGAAGGUUAAUUGAUGGGGUCAGCGCAAGCGAAGCUCUUGAUCGAAGCCCCGGUAAACGGCGGCCGUAACUAUAACGGUCCUAAGGUAGCGAAAUUCCUUGUCGGGUAAGUUCCGACCUGCACGAAUGGCGUAAUGAUGGCCAGGCUGUCUCCACCCGAGACUCAGUGAAAUUGAACUCGCUGUGAAGAUGCAGUGUACCCGCGGCAAGACGGAAAGACCCCGUGAACCUUUACUAUAGCUUGACACUGAACAUUGAGCCUUGAUGUGUAGGAUAGGUGGGAGGCUUUGAAGUGUGGACGCCAGUCUGCAUGGAGCCGACCUUGAAAUACCACCCUUUAAU
rnacentral:rRNA from 1 species